rnacentral:rRNA from 1 species
UACGGGGGGGGCAAGCGUUGUUCGGAAUUACUGGGCGUAAAGGGCUCGUAGGUGGCCAACUAAGUCAGACGUGAAAUCCCCAGGCUCAACUUGGGAACUGCGUCUGAUACUGGAUGGCUUGAAUUCGGGAGAGGGAUGCAGAAUUCCGGGUGUAGCGGUGAAAUGCGUAGAUAUCUGGAGGAAUACCGGUGGCGAAGGCGGCAUCCUGGACCGAGAUUGACGCUGAGGAGCGAAAGCCAGGGGAGCAAACGGG